UGGGGCCCCAGGGCAGGGUGCCCAGAUCCAGCGCUGGGCUGGGCUGGCCACCCAGCCUCUGAUUUGCAGCCCCGCUGCAGGGUGGCUUUAUCUCCACACAGAGUCCCAGCUCCCAGGGGAGCCCCCGGGAUGGUGCCCACCCAGCUGCGGACCUGGGGCUCUUGGGCUCUCUGAAUUCACCAGUUUCUCCUUCUCCUCUUCUUGCAGGACCUGUGAGGCUUUGGGCACUGCCUCUGCUCUCCCAUCAGCUCUUUAAGAGUUUGAUUAACUUCAGGAUGACACUGCUAAAAGCACGGCAAGGCCUUGCAGCCAAGAGGGAGCUCCUGUCUCAGAGAACCUCUUGGCAAAGGUUUUUAGGUAAUACACAUCCAACCGUGUCUGUCACAUUCUGCCUUUGCUAAUCUAAGAGUGACUUUAAAAACCCCCAUGCCAAGAGAAGGCCACACGCAGGAAGUUACGAGCCAUGGCCCCACUCUCCCUGGCACUUCUCCCACUGCACACUUUUGUACAGCCCCACUCCACUCACUUUGUGAAAGUCCUAGAACAUUAAACCGAGCAAUGUUACCU